GAAAGAUGAAAAGAACUUUGAAAAGAGAGUUAAACAGUACGUGAAAUUGUUGAAAGGGAAACGAUUGAAGUCAGUCGUACCAGCGGGAAAUCAACCUUUCGAGUGGGGGUUUUGGAGUUUUGAAGAGUGUUAAAACCUUUGAGAUUUCAAAAAAUUUUCGCUCUUUUGGUGUACUUUCUCGUGGGUAGGUUAACAUCGAUUUUGAUCAUCAUAAAAAGAUUGGAGGAAUGUAGCUUCGAUCUUGUAUUGAAGUGUUAUA
rnacentral:rRNA from 1 species